CCUACGGGUGGCUGCAGUCGAGAAUCAUUCACAAUGGGGGAAACCCUGAUGGUGCGACGCCGCGUGGGGGAAUGAAGGUCUUCGGAUUGUAAACCCCUGUCAUGUGGGAGCAAAUUAAAAAGAUAGUACCACAAGAGGAAGAGACGGCUAACUCGGUGCAAGCAGCCGCGGUAAUACAGAGGUCUCAAGCGUUGUUCGGAAUCACUGGGCGUAAGGCGUGCGUAGGCUGUUUCGUAGGUCGUGUGUGAAAGGCGCGGGCUCAACCCGCGGACGGCACAUGAUACUGCGAGACUAGAGUAAUGGAGGGGGAACCGGAAUUCUCGGUGUAGCAGUGAAAUGCGUAGAUAUCGAGAGGAACACUCGUGGCGAAGGCGGGUUCCUGGACAUUAACUGACGCUGAGGCACGAAGGCCAGGGGAGCGAAAGGGAUUAGAUACCCGGGUAGUC
rnacentral:rRNA from 1 species